rnacentral:rRNA from 1 species
GACGAACGCUGGCGGCGUGCUUAACACAUGCAAGUCGAACGGAAAGGCCCUGCUUGCAGGGUGCUCGAGUGGCGAACGGGUGAGUAACACGUGGGUGAUUUGCCCCUUACUUUGGGAUAAGCCUGGGAAACUGGGUCUAAUACUGGAUAGGACCAUGCUGUAGGUGGUGUGGUGGAGAGAUUAGUUUCGGUAAGGGAUGAGCUCGCGGCCUAUCCGCUUGUUGGUGGGGUAAUGGCCUACCAAGGCGUCGACGGGUAGCCGGCCUGAGAGGGUGGACGGCCAGGUUGGGACUGCGAUGGGAGGCAGACGCCGGCAGGAUGGAGCAGUGGGGGAUAGUGCGAAAUAGGCGCAAGGCGGGUGCGGCGACGGCGUGUGGGGGGUGAAGGCCUUCGGUUGGUAAACAACAUCCGGCGAUGACGAAGCCGUUGUGGUGACGGUAGUGGUAGAAGAAGCACCGGCUAACUACGUG